UUUAGUGAUUUGUAACUUAACUCGGUACAUUUGCGACGGGGUGACUUUCAGAGGAACUCAUUUCAUUUACAGGUAACUUCGUCAAAGUAACUUAUGCCAAGUCCAAAGUUACUUUUAAUUCGCUUUUCACUCACGUCCACUUAUUUUAUUGCUUUAUCUCCGGUUCUUUUCGGGCAUUUUAUGCCAGUGAUAUUCAAUCAAUUACAGUAUUCUACUCAGGAGGCAAGAACCGCUGCCACUGUAAUGAAGCUGAACCAUUGUGCGCCCAAAGGGAAUAACAUGCAAAGCGUUGCAAAUUGUUGGGCAUAAACGGCAGGCAACUCAAGGUCGAGCUCAACUGCUCACACGCGCUGUACCUGUGUACUGCUAUUUUGUGUCCACAGUAACUUUGAAGUAGCUCGUUCCUUUUUUAAGUAACUCUGUAACUGGGAAGGGAGUUGCCUCAGGACAGAAGCCGCCGGUAUUUCCAACAGAGACUGUUCUUCUUCUGGGCACCGUCCUCAUCAUUGGCAUGGUAUUUAAAGGGUUAGGUGUGACGUGUUUAAAGGUUCAUGCGAAUUGUGUGUCAACAGCCCGGAGGGAAGAAAGGUUCCGUACGGGCUUCUACGGCCGGACUGAAUGGCUGCUUUGUUAGAGUGUGGAGGGGAUUGUGUGAACUUUGUGAUCUAGGCUACAGACCGAUUACAGAGGAAUGGAAGGUUCACGAACACGUGGGCGAAACGGGACAACAGGCAAGAAUUGGCAAGCAUAGCGAAAGAUAAGGAGGUUAGUGGUUACGUGGGGAAAAUUCCAGAACGAGCAAAGGUUUCAUUUUUGUUUUAUUAAGCAUAUUUGUAAUACAAAGUUGUGGCAUGCAAUAAAGAAAGUAGAAAGCAGUGGCCAUGCAGAACAUAACAGAUGAUAAUGGAGGUAGAAGGGAAAAGCAUAUUUUAUUUGUGAAGUGUUUCUAGGGUGCCUUGUGAUUUGUUGAUACCGGACGGGUGAAGAGCGUUGAACUUGUAUAUGAGAUAAGACUCCCUAUCACGUCUGUCACGUGUGGAUCUGAACCCGGUUUCUAGAAUAUAUAGUUUAAUGUUGUCAAAAUUGUGACCAGGAACGUUAAAGUGUUCGGCGACUGCUUUGGGGAGUUUGGAAUAUCUUGUGAUGAAACUUAUUUGGCACGCGUCAGGAUUUUUUCGGUUUUCCAGAACCUCGUCUCGAUCGAGUGUGAGUGCCUUGCGACGGAAUUCGGUUAGGAGGGAGUCUGGACAGUCCCUUUGGGCAAGUGUACUGCAGAGUUCGUCAAGCUUCUCAGCGUAAUCUGCGUCGUUUGAACAAAUUCUGCGUAGUCUUACACUCUGCCCAUUAGGAACUCCAACCUUACAGUGACGCGGGUGGUGACUCUUGAAGUGAAGGUAUUGUUGUUUGUCAGUUGGCUUUUUGUACAGGGUUGUGAUGAGGUUGCCGUUGUCUAGUGAUAUUGUGGUGUCGAGGAAGUUAAUAAAGUGAGUUGACUGUUGUGAUGUGAACUUUAUGUUGCUAUGCGCGGUGUUCAGUAGAUCUAUGAACUUUUGAAAUUCAUGUUCCCCGUGUUCCCAUAUUAUCAGUAGAUCAUCGAUGUAUCGAAGGUACACCGUGGGUUUUAAUGAGAGGGCGCUGAGAACUUUGUUUUCUAAGAACCCCAUGAAGAUAUUUGCGUAUGUGGGUGCAACAGGUGUGCCCAUACUUGUACCGUGUACUUAUAGGUAGUAUUCGCCAUUGAACUCGAUGUAGUUCAGUUUAAGGACAAAGUCCAUUAGAGCGAGUAUGGUUUCUGUGUCUUUUCUGGUGUUUGUUGAAGAAAGGGUAUUGCAGAGGGCUGUGAUUCCGUCGUUGUGUGGGAUGUUAGUAUACUGUCACAUCCAGCGUGGCUAGUAUUGUGUCCCUACCAAAUGUACGAGUGUUGUUUAUAUCUCUGAUUAUUCUGAGGAGGUGGGGUGUGUCUUGUACAUGCGAUGGCAGUGUUGUCGGAAUAUGGUUUAAAGGGACUGUCGCAUCCGGAACCGUGGUUACGAAUCCAAUACCAACGUGUUCGGUACACUACCACCGAGCUAUUUGCCAAAUUUUCUCCUUCGAAAACGGACCGGGCGAUGAGGAAUCGAAUUUAAAAGAUCCGGUUUCGUUUUGAUCCUCGAAAGCGCCAGCGCCAACAACAUCGCGUGACGCAAGGUGGAAUCUGGCUAAUCCGCUUUGAAGGACGCUGUCGUCUGCCGCCAAGUCUGGGGCUGCUUUGUUUUUUUUCGGCACGUCGCACGUAUUCACAUGUGACACUUUCUAGUGACGCGGAUACUAUCUCUACGCUUGCAUCCUUCGCGUGAGAUGUCGUUUGGAAACCGACGCAGCGUUCCUGACUCCAGGAAAACUUCCUUCGAAAACCGCGAUGUUUGAUUUCGCACGCCAAGGAUACAGCUACAGCCAGACCCCAGACGAAGCGAAAGUUGGAAGCAGCUACAUCACUUGCGGGUAUCCAGAUGAAGCAAGGAGUGUUCAUGCUGUCCGUGUACGCUCCUCGCAUUUCACCGAUAAUGUGUACCUGGAUGAGAACAUCGUGCAAGUGCAACUUGGAUUGACACAAAAAAGGAACGAAUUGAAACUUGACGCCGUUCCGACAGUGUUCCACGAACAAAGCGAGCCAGCAACUUCGACAGUAACUCCCAAUGUCUAUGUAGUUUCCCAAUCGGAUCUGUCACUCUUGCGCGUGAGUAACUUAGCAGCAAAAGACGAAAUCGGUACAACGUAAGGUAUCCCCUAACCUAUGAUGAAUAACUAGAUAAAUAAAAUACAAUAAACAAGUAAAAGAACAUGAUGUCAUUCAUAUGAACGUGUUGGCUUUUCUCGUUGUCGGACGCGUUAUUAUGAAACUUUCCCUGUUACUGAACCUGUGACUUUUGUGGAAUGUGGUAGACAUGAUUGGUUUUCAUGUGUAUUACAGCUGCAGGCAGCUCGACAGGGUCAAGCGCAAGUGAAGGACCAGGUGCUGCUGAUCCAGGUCCCAUCCAUCCAUGAAACGGCAUCAAACAAUAACAGUGCUUUCUUCAUCCAAGUUCAAGAAGUAAAGAGAAUGACUUCAUGGCUUCUACUGACAUCUCACAGCUACAUGCCAAGACAAAAUAACUUGAAAGAAGAAAAAGAAAAAAAAAGAAAAGAAAAGGUCCUUUUCAGGUCCACCCAAAUCUUUGUGCAGAGGCUGACAACAACAACGUUAUUGUGAGAUGAUGAAUGAUGCUGAUGCAGCGUUGAGAUUAAGCCCUUGUUUCCUUUUUUUGCAAUGCUAUACAUUACUGCUGGUUAAAUGUAAAAUGAUGCAGCUACCUCCAGACAUUAAAGGGGCUACCAGAGAUGUAGUGUCAAUUCAACAGAAAAGCUGCAUGUUCUACGAGGCACUGUCACAUAAGCAUUGGCCAAAUUUGCUGUCCUGUGAGCUUUGAUAGAAUAUGCCGUAGAUAGUAAGAGGCCUCUUACUGUAAAAGGGAGGUGCAUUAUUCGAGUAGUGGGGUCUGAGGCAUGAGGGUCAUUUCAGGAUGUACUAAUCCUUCCAAUAAUUUUACACUUGGUUGUGCCCAGAAAUCGAUCCAGAUCCCCCCCAACACCCCGAGAUUUUUUCCUGUGUACAACUGUUAUAAUGAAACCGUCCAAUUUACUGUCCAACCGUCCCGUUUUCAUUGCAAUUGAAGUACUUACGAAACUGUUUAUUUUAUUUUUUAUUUUUGUGAGUCCCCGCUUCAGAUCCCAAGGGACAUUGCCAGUGUGGUGCACGCUGAUAACUGUCUGUGCAUAGCAAAUAAUAAAUA